rnacentral:rRNA from 2 species
GGCUCGCUAGUCACUCCGAGCGUAGUAGUUACAUCUCGCUCAGGGCGUGCUGCGGGUUCCGGCCGUUAAAAGCCUUAUUUACCCAAGGUUGACCUCGGAUCAGGUAGGAAGACCCGCUGAACUUAAGCAUAUCAAUAAGCGGAGGAAAAGAAACCAACAGGGAUUGCCCUAGUAACGGCGAGUGAAGCGGCAACAGCUCAAAUUUGAAAUCUGGCUUCGGCCCGAGUUGUAAUUUGCAGAGGAAGCUUUGGGCGCGGCACCAACUGAGUCCCCUGGAACGGGGCGCCAUAGAGGGUGAGAGCCCCGUAUAGUUGGACGCCUAGCCUGUGUAAAGCUCCUUCGACGAGUCGAGUAGUUUGGGAAUGCUGCUCAAAAUGGGAGGUAAAUUUCUUCUAAAGCUAAAUACCGGCCAGAGACCGAUAGCGCACAAGUAGAGUGAUCGAAAGAUGAAAAGCACUUUGAAAAGAGGGUUAAAUAGCACGUGAAAUUGUUGAAAGGGAAGCGCUUGUGACCAGACUUGCGCCCGGCUGAUCAUCCGGUGUUCUCACCGGUGCACUCUGCCGGGCUCAGGCCAGCAUCGGUUCUCGCGGGGGGACAAAGGCGGCGGGAACGUGGCUCCUCCGGGAGUGUUAUAGCCCACCGUGUCAUGCCCUCGCGGGGACCGAGGACCGCGCAUCUGCAAGGAUGCUGGCGUAAUGGUCAUCAGCGACCCGUCUUGAAACACGGACCAAGGAGUCAAGGUUUUGCGCGAGUGUUUGGGUGUAAAACCCGCACGCGUAAUGAAAGUGAACGUAGGUGAGAGCCCUCGGGCGCAUCAUCGACCGAUCCUGAUGUUCUCGGAUGGAUUUGAGUAGGAGCGUUAAGCCUUGGACCCGAAAGAUGGUGAACUAUGCUUGGAUAGGGUGAAGCCAGAGGAAACUCUGGUGGAGGCUCGCAGCGGUUCUGACGUGCAAAUCGAUCGUCAAAUCUGAGCAUGGGGGCGAAAGACUAAUCGAACCAUCUAGUAGCUGGUUACCGCCGAAGUUUCCCUCAGGAUAGCAGUGUUGUCUUCAGUUUUAUGAGGUAAAGCGAAUGAUUAGGGACUCGGGGGCGCUUUUUUGCCUUCAUCCAUUCUCAAACUUUAAAUAUGUAAGAAGCCCUUGUUACUUAAUUGAACGUGGGCAUUCGAAUGUACCAACACUAGUGGGCCAUUUUUGGUAAGCAGAACUGGCGAUGCGGGAUGAACCGAACGCGGGGUUAAGGUGCCGGAGUGGACGCUCAUCAGACACCACAAAAGGCGUUAGUACAUCUUGACAGCAGGACGGUGGCCAUGGAAGUCGGAAUCCGCUAAGGACUGUGUAACAACUCACCUGCCGAAUGUACUAGCCCUGAAAAUGGA